rnacentral:rRNA from 1 species
AUUGACCGCUGGCGGCAGGCCUAACACAUGCAAGUCGAGCGGUGCGGCGGACGGGUGAGUAAUGCCUAGGAAUCUGCCUGGCCGUGGGGGAUAAGGUCCGUACACGGGCGCUAAUCCCGUACCCUAUCAGAUGCGCCUAGGUCGGAUUGGCUAGUUGGUGGGGUAAAGGCCUACCAAGGCGACGAUCCGUAACUGGUCUGAGAGGAUGAUCAGCAACACUGGAACUGAGACACGGUCCAGACUCCUACGGGAGGCAGCAGUGGGGAAUAUUGGACAAUGGGCGAAAGCCUGAUCCAGCCAUGCCGCGUGUGUGAAGAAGGUCUUCGGAUUGUAAAGCACUUUAAGUUGGGAGGCGUUACCAACAGAAUAAGCAACGGCUAACUUCGUGCCAGCAGCCGCGGUAAUAC